rnacentral:rRNA from 1 species
GAUGAACGCUAGCGGCAGGCCUAAUACAUGCCAGUCGAACGGGUGGUCGCAAGACCACUAGUGGCGCACGGGUGCGUAACGCGUAACCAACCUGCCCCGAUCUGGGGGAUAGCCCGCCGAAAGGCGGAUUAAUACCGCAUAUACCCGCAGCCUGGCAUCAGGCAACGGGGAAAGAUUUAUUGGAUCGGGAUGGGGUUGCGUGACAUUAGCUAGUUGGCGGGGUAAGGGCCCACCAAGGCGACGAUGUCUAGGGGACCUGAGAGGGUGAUCCCCCACACUGGCACUGAGAUACGGGCCAGACUCCUACGGGAGGCAGCAGUAGGGAAUAUUGGGCAAGGGGCGAGAGCCUGACCCAGCCAUGCCGCGUGCCGGAUGAAGGCCUUCUGGGUUGUAAACGGCUUUUCUCAGGGAAGAAAAAGACCUUGCGAGGUACACUGACGGUACCUGAGGAAUAAGCACCGGCUAACUCCGUG